AAACUGGGAUUAGAUACCCCACUAUGCCCAGCCGUAAACUUUUAUUUACAUCCAAAUCGCCCGGGAACUACGAGCUAAGCUUAAAACCCAAAGGACUUGACGGUACCCCAUAUCCCCCUAGAGGAGCCUGUCCUAUAAUCGAUAAUCCACGUUUAACCUCACCGCUUCUAGUUAAUCAGCCUGUAUACCUCCGUCGUCAGCUUACCACGUGAGCGUAAAUUAGUGAGCCCAAUGUUAUUUCACCAACACGUCAGGUCAAGGUGCAGCAAAUGAAGUGGGAAGAGAUGGGCUACACUUUCUAUUUUAGAAGAAACGAAAAACUACUUAUGAAACCUAGUUAGAAGGCGGAUUUAGCAGUAAAAAGAAAUCAGCAUGUUCAUUUUAACCUGGCACUGGGGUGUGUACACACCGCCCGUCACCCUCUGCAGUCAA
rnacentral:rRNA from 1 species